GGGCCACUAGCUCAUCUGGUAGAGCGCUUCCAUGGCAUGGAAGAGGUGAAGGGUUCGAUUCCCUUGUGGUCCACCA
rnacentral:tRNA from 1 species